rnacentral:tRNA from 1 species
AGUUGAGUAAGCUAAGUAAGCUCUCGGGCCCAUACCCCGAACAUGUUGGUUAAAAUCCCUCCUCUACUA